rnacentral:rRNA from 1 species
GAGUUUGAUCCUGGCUCAGGACGAACGCUGGCGGCGUGCUUAACACAUGCAAGUCGAACGAGAAUCUACUGAAAGAGUUUUCGGACAAUGGAAGUAGAGGAAAGUGGCGGACGGGUGAGUAACGCGUGAGGAACCUGCCUUGAAGAGGGGGACAACAGUUGGAAACGACUGCUAAUACCGCAUGAUGCAUAAGGGUCGCAUGAUUCUUAUGCCAAAGAUUUAUCGCUUCAAGAUGGCCUCGCGUCUGAUUAGCUAGUUGGCGGGGUAACGGCCCACCAAGGCGACGAUCAGUAGCCGGACUGAGAGGUUGAACGGCCACAUUGGGACUGAGAUACGGCCCAGACUCCUACGGGAGGCAGCAGUGGGGAAUAUUGGGCAAUGGGCGCAAGCCUGACCAGCAACGCCGCGUG